rnacentral:rRNA from 1 species
AGUGAACGCUGGCGGUAGGCCUAACACAUGCAAGUCGAACGGCAGCACAGUAAGAGCUUGCUCUUACGGGUGGCGAGUGGCGGACGGGUGAGGAAUACAUCGGAAUCUACUUUUUCGUGGGGGAUAACGUAGGGAAACUUACGCUAAUACCGCAUACGACCUACGGGUGAAAGCAGGGGAUCUUCGGACCUUGCGCGAUUGAAUGAGCCGAUGUCGGAUUAGCUAGUUGGCGGGGUAAAGGCCCACCAAGGCGACGAUCCGUAGCUGGUCUGAGAGGAUGACCAGCCACACUGGAACUGAGACACGGUCCAGACUCCUACGGGAGGCAGCAGUGGGGAAUAUUGGACAAUGGGCGCAAGCCUGAUCCAGCCAUACCGCGUGGGUGAAGAAGGCCUUCGGGUUGUAAAGCCCUUUUGUUGGGAAAGAAAAGCAGCAGGUUAAUACCCCGCUGUUCUGACGGUACCCAAAGAAUAGGCACCGGCUAACUUCGUG